rnacentral:rRNA from 1 species
GACGAACGCUGGCGGCGCGCUUAACACAUGCAAGUCGAACGGAAAGGCCUGCUUUCCCUUGUGGAUUGCGGGUACUCGAGUGGCGAACGGGUGAGUAACACGUGAGUGAUCUGCCCCCAACUUGGGUAUAAGCCUGGGAAACUGGGUCUAAUUCCCGAUAGGACUGCAGGGUGGUGCCUGUGGUGGAAAACGAUUUUCUAGUGGUUGGGGAUGAGCUCGCGGCCUAUCAGCUUGUUGGUGGGGUAAUGGCCUACCAAGGCGGCGACGGGUAGCCGGCCUGGGAGGGUGGACGGCCACAUUGGACUGAGAUACGGCCCAGACUCCUACGGGAGGCAGCAGUGGGGAAUAUUGCACAAUGGGCGGAAGCCUGAUGCAGCGACGCCGCGUGGGGGAUGACGGCCUUCGGGUUGUAAACUCCUUUCGACCGCGAGGAAGCCACCUGGUUGGAAGGGUGGUGACGGUAGUGGUAGAAGAAGCACCGGCUAACUACGUG